rnacentral:sRNA from 1 species
AGUCUGCCGCUGCAAAUACCAAAAGCUGUCCUCAUUGAGUCAUCCCUCCCAGAGCAGGAAGAGCAGAGGUUCUGGGAAACAACCCCAAGGAGAGAGACAGGGCAUUUAUAAAACAGCAUGUAAGCAUCUCUGCAGUUGCUGUCCCCAGAGCCCACUUCCUGGAUAUUGCCAGCUGCCUGGACCAACCUUUCCGAAAGAUCAGCCAGGUCACAGUGAGGGUCAAAGGUGAGGCAACACCCGGCCUGCUUCAGCUUGCCCCCCGUGGGCUGCACCCACUGUCCAACCAGUCCCAAUGAGAUGAACCAGCAGGAGGCCACUGGAGGCUCCAAGGGCUCUGAAAUGUUGAGAACUUCCCUGCAGGUACCAGCGAAGAGGGCAAGAACACAGCACUACUUCCUUGGAUACUGUUUCCCUCCUCAGAGGGGUUUUCUGAGCUGCCCUGGGUCCUGUGAGGAAGAUCUCCCCUUCCUGUAAAGACACCAGUCCUACUGGAUCAGGGCCCACCCGUGUGACUUCACUUUUACUUGAGUACCUCUCACAGACCCUAACUCCAAAUCAGGUCACUUGCUGAGGUACUGCAUGUGAAGACUUUGACAUUUGAAUUUUGAGGGGGCCACCGUUUAACCUGAACCACCAAGGACAGAGCCAAAGACCCUGGGUGACAGGCCCAGAACAGGACCUGGUGGAGGCUCUUCUUUAGGGGAGAGAGGGAAAUGGGAGCCACCACUGGCAGAGCCUGAAGGCAGGGCAGCCAGAAAGAAGCUGUGGGAGUCCCCACCAUGGAAGACCCUGCCGAGCAUCCUGUGUCUCCUGAAGCAGACCCUGACAUGAGGACUGGGGGCACGUGUUUAUUAAGGGCGAUCCCCGGAAGGAGGAGAUAACCAGGCAGAAGUCCUAGCAGAGUAUGCCCACGCUGGUUAGUGCUGCUGCAAAGAUGAGCCGAAGACCAUGAGAGACCUCCAGGUGGUCCUUCUGGGGAGAAGAAAUGGGUUUUGGCCCCAAAUCCUUCUGCUGCAUUUUUCCCCUAUCCCUGGGAAGCCAUGAGACCUCAAACCUGUGUUCCCAAGGAGGCGAGCUGCUGUUCCCAGGUGAUGAUAUGAUGUGCUUGGGGAAAGUAAGUGGCUGCCAGACAUGGCUGAGAGCUGUUGUCACUGCCGUCAAGUGCAUGUCUCCAAGCCAUAUCACACGGCGUCCCUCGAUGUGAGGCCACAUGGCAAGUGGGCCGUGGAUCUCCCUCUGCCCUUUGCAAGCACGUAAGACAGCAGAUUUUGCAGAUACCUUGUGGCGCAGGGGAAUUUCCUUUGGCCAGGUCUGAAGAAAUAAAGCAGCAGGCACCGAGAACAAAGCCAAGGCUUUCAAAAGACAAGGAGCCAAAAAACUUACUCAAAAUAAAAGUAGUUUUAAAAUG